rnacentral:lncRNA from 1 species
AAAAAAGAAAAUACAAGGCUCAACUUGUUUCUGAUGCAGAACUCAGGAGCUCCUAAAAGAGCAAGUGGAAUGAAAUGUUUCCUUUUUGAUUUUCUUCUCUUUUGAAACCAUUCACCCAUUGUUUAUUUGGAAAUAGCUUAUGUGGCAUGCAGAAUCCAUGAACACAAAAACUGAACAUUUAUUUAUCCAACAUAUUACACAUACUGUGAUUGCUUCAAGCUGUGUGAGGCGUGGCCUGUGCCAAUGCAAGAUUCAAUUAGAAUUCUGAGAUAUGUUAAAAUAGCUUUGGUAUAAGGCAGUGGAACUUAAUCAGGAGUGAUUUUGUUCCCCCUUCUCCCCCAUUUGGCAGUGUCUAAAUGCAAUUAUCAUUGUCACAACUGUGGGUACAGUGAUGGAAAUGGUGCUAAUGGCAUCUAGUGGGUAGAGACCACGGAUGCUGCUAAACAUCCCACAAUGCACAGAGCAGCCCCCCGACAACGAAGAAUUAUCCUACAUGAAAUGUCAACAGCGCCAAGGUGAGAAACUCUGAGUGUUAUUAGUGUGGUGCUCUCUGUGUGAUACAAACCAGGUGCUCUGGCAGAGCAAAGAAAGAAAGAUCACAUCCACUCGGGAUGAUCAAAGAUUUCAAGAAUUCUUUAAGUGGGUUUUUCUGUGGUCCAGAAUGCCUAAUUUUUCUGAGUCUUAGAGGUCCUCUAGUGUCCCUAAAUAUUGUAUUUCUGUAUGUCAGUCACUACGUUGUCAGUGAAAAGCCUUGCUUGGCCCAGUAACUCGACAUCUCUGUAUUUCAUUUUUUUCCACUGAAGAGUGAGAUUUGAUUCAGAGGCCCGAGGUCUCUCCUGGCUUUGAACAAGUGACAGUUCUCACUGUUUAAAAAAAUUUUUUUUUAAAUAGAGACAGGGGUUUCACCUUGUUGUAUAGGCUGGCCUUGAACUCCUAGGCUCAAGUGAUCCUCCCACCUACAGCCUCCCAAAGUGCUGGGAUUAUAAGCAUAAGCUACCACACCUGGCUGAGAAUUCUCAUUUUUAACUUUCUACCUGGUGGCCCUAUGUAUGGCAGAUGCACCUGACAGCAAUAAUUUAACUUAAGCAUACUCUGUAUGGCAGAUGCACCUGACAGCAUAAUUUCACUUAUGAUAUGAGGGUUGCCAUGUGGAGGUU